rnacentral:lncRNA from 1 species
UCACUGAACAACAAGAUUUGGUCACAAGCAGCUGCAAAAUCAUUUAUAGGAGAAGCAGUACAUCAUAUUGCUAUGAAAUAUCUCCAAAGUCACCCACCAUCACUUCAGGUUGAAUAGCAUUAUCUAAGGUCUAUUAUAGGCAGAAUAAUCAUGAGGGGCACAUGAAGGAAGUAAAUUUCUUACAUGAACAACAGUCAGCUGGUCCGCGUCUAAUGCAAGUCAGUGCAGCCUCUAAUCAACAUGCUUGAGCGAACAUGUUGAGCAAACAUACUGUGGAGCACAUAUAUUCAUGUCUAGCAAAAAAAAGGUCGAUUAUAGAUUAAUCAAGGGUAGUAGUUCAAAGUAGCAUCAGACAAACCCGUAUAUGUGGAAUACUUAAUCUUAUCUAGCUCAUCAUCCUCACCCUUUGUUCCAUAAUGUGCCACUGCAGCAGCAGUAGCAGCUUAACACAAAUUAGGAGUGAACAGCCAACCAAUCAAUCUGCAACAUGAGGGAGAGGCUUGAGACGGAAGAGCCAUGGCGGCAGUGCCAGGUUCUCUCCGUCCGCAAGACAAAGAGGACUAUCAGUAUGCUUAUCAGCCGCACCGUCCGUCCACGACUGCGCCGCUGGACGGCACCGACCCAUGGCUUGAGGCCAGCAUUACCCUGCUUUUCUGCAACAUAAAACCAUCUACCGG